rnacentral:misc_RNA from 1 species
UACGGAGGGUGCAAGCGUUAAUCGGAAUUACUGGGCGUAAAGCGCGCGUAGGUGGCUUGAUAAGCGGGAUGUGAAAGCCCCGGGCUUAACCUGGGAACGGCAUCCGGAACUGUCAAGCUAGAGUGCAGUAGAGGAUGGUAGAAUUUCCGGUGUAGCGGUGAAAUGCGUAGAGAUCGGGAGGAAUACCAGUGGCGAAGGCGGCCUUCUGGACCGAUACUGACACUGAGGUGCGAAAGCGUGGGUAGCAAACAGG